rnacentral:rRNA from 1 species
UACGUAGGGGGCAAGCGUUGUCCGGAUUUAUUGGGCGUAAAGAGCUCGUAGGCGGUUUCGUAAGUCGGGUGUGAAAACUCUAGGCUCAACCUAGAGACGCCACCCGAUACUGCGAUGACUAGAGUCCGGUAGGGGAGUGUGGAAUUCCUGGUGUAGCGGUGAAAUGCGCAGAUAUCGGGAGGAACACCUAUGGCGAAGGCAGCUCGCUGGGACGUUACUGACGCUGAGACGCGAAAGCGUGGGGAGCAAACAGG